CCUACGGGGGGCAGCAGUGGGGAAUAUUGGACAAUGGGGGGAACCCUGAUCCAGCCAUGCCGCGUGUGUGAAGAAGGCCCUCGGGUUGUAAAGCACUUUCAGUGAGGAAGAACGCCUGGUGGUUAAUACCCAUCAGGAAAGACAUCACUCACAGAAGAAGCACCGGCUAACUCCGUGCCAGCAGCCGCGGUAAUACGGAGGGUGCGAGCGGUAAUCGGAAUUACUGGGCGUAAAGCGCGCGUAGGUGGCUUGAUAAGCCGGUUGUGAAAGCCCCGGGCUCAACCUGGGAACGGCAUCCGGAACUGUCAAGCUAGAGUGCAGGAGAGGAAGGUAGAAUUCCCGGUGUAGCGGUGAAAUGCGUAGAGAUCGGGAGGAAUACCAGUGGCGAAGGCGGCCUUCUGGACUGACACUGACACUGAGGUGCGAAAGCGUGGGUAGCAAACAGGAUUAGAUACCCCUGUAGUC
rnacentral:rRNA from 1 species